rnacentral:rRNA from 1 species
UACGUAGGGUGCAAGCGUUAAUCGGAAUUACUGGGCGUAAAGCGUGCGCAGGCGGUUUUGUAAGUCUGCCGUGAAAUCCCCGGGCUCAACCUGGGAAUUGCGAUGGAGACUGCAAGGCUAGAAUCUGGCAGAGGGGGGUGAGAAUUCCGACGUGUAGCAGUGAAAUGCGUAGAGAUGCGGAGGAACACCGAUGGCGAAGGCAGCCCCCUGGGCUGAGCACGUGACGCUCAGGCACGAAAGCGUGGGGGAGCAAACAGG